rnacentral:piRNA from 1 species
UACUUGAAGUCACUGACUAAUUUUCCC